rnacentral:misc_RNA from 1 species
GAUGAAGAACGUAGUGAAAUGCGAUAAGUAAUGUGAAUUGCAGAAUUCAGUGAAUCAUCGAGUCUUUGAACGCACAUUGCGCCCCCUGGUAUUCCGGGGGGCAUGCCUGUCCGAGCGUCAUUGCUGCCCUCAAGCACGGCUUGUGUGUUGGGCCGUCGUCCACCUCCUAGGGGACGGGCCCGAAAGGCAGCGGCGGCACCGCGUCCGGUCCUCGAGCGUAUGGGGCUUCGUCACCCGCUCCGUAGGCCCGGCCGGCGCUUGCCGACGACCAUCAAUCUCUUUCUCCAGGUUGACCUCGGAUCAGGUAGGGAUACCCGCUGAACUUAAGCAUAUCAAUAAGCGGAGGA